rnacentral:lncRNA from 9 species
GGCCGCCGCUGGUUGCAGCCUCCCCCUUCUUCCCGCGCUUCCAGAAGCAGCCUCGUGGGAGGCGCCGUCUUCCUCAGAAGCACCUUCUCUAAACCCCUGGUCCCAGCAGCAUCCGGGUAGCAGCGCUCCCGCCUCCACAGGUGGAUGGAAACGAGACCAAGAGAAAAAAAUAAGCAACUUAAUAACCUACUUUUACCCAGAGAAUGGAAAAUAAAAUGCAAGAUUCCAAACCCUGCCCUUUCAUUGCAUCUUCAUCUUUGGAAAAUACAGGAAGAAGUGGGCUGUUUUGGCUUCCUACCAUGGAUGAGGAUCUCGAAGGAGAAAGUUGGCAGACCUUCUCCAUUCCCUGGGGCUUCGGCAAGGCAGUAGAGGAUGAAGGAGCGCACAUCUGCCAGCUGUGGCUGGUGACUGUAGCAAGAGGAAUGUUGCGGAAUAAUUUAUUAGGACAGAAGAAAAUGGCUGAAGAGCUUAUUGUGGACUAA